CAGUGNUGAAAGUUUUCAGCUUAACUGGAAAAAUGCCAUUGAUACUGUCAGGCUAGAAUAUGGUUGCUGUGAGUGGAAUGUGUGGUGUAGCGGUGAAAUGCUUAGAUAUCACACAGAAUAUCGAUUGCGAAGGCAGCUCACAAAGCCAUUAUUGACGCUGAGGCACGAAAGUGUGGGGAUCAAACAGGAUUAGAUACCCUGGUAGUCCACACUGUAAACGAUGAUAACUAGUUGUUGGCGAUACACAGUCAGUGACCAAGCGAAAGCGAUAAGUUAUCCACCUGGGGAGUACGACCGCAAGGUUGAAACUCAAAGGAAUUGACGGGGGCCCGCACAAGCGGAGGAACAUGUGGUUUAAUUCGAUGAUACGCGAGGAACCUUACCCGGGCUCGAACGGUGCAGGAAUAUGGUAGAGAUAUCAUAGCUAGCAAUAGUCUGUAUCGAGGUGCUGCAUGGUUGUCGUCAGCUCGUGCCGUGAGGUGUCGGCUUAAGUGCCAUAACGAGCGCAACCCUUGUCGUUAGUCGCCAUCAGGUCAAGCUGGGAACUCUAACGAGACUGCCACCGUAAGGUGUGAGGAAGGGGGGGAUGACGUCAAAUCAGCACGGCCCUUACGUCCGGGGCGACACACGUGUUACAAUGGUAGGUACAGAGGGCCGCUAACCAGCGAUGGUGUGCAAAUCUCAAAAACCUAUCUCAGUUCGGAUCGGAGUCUGCAACUCGACUCCGUGAAGUUGGAUUCGCUAGUAAUCGCGCAUCAGCCAUGGCGCGGUGAAUACGUUCCCGGGCCUUGUACACACCGCCCGUCAAGCCAUGGAAGCUGGGGGUGCCUGAAGUUCGUGACCGCAAGGAGCGACCUAGGGCAAAACUGGUAACUGGGGCUAAGUCGUAACAAGGUAACC
rnacentral:rRNA from 1 species